rnacentral:rRNA from 1 species
UACAGAGGUCUCAAGCGUUUGUUCGGAUUCAUUGGGCGUAAAGGGUGCGUAGGCAGCGCGGUAAGUCGGGUGUGAAAUCUCGGGGCUUAACUCCGAAACUGCAUUCGAUACUGCCGUGCUUGAGGACUGGAGAGGAGACUGGAAUUUACGGUGUAGCGGUGAAAUGCGUAGAUAUCGUAAGGAAGACCAGUGGCGAAGGCGGGUCUCUGGACAGUUCCUGACACUGAGGCACGAAGGCCAGGGGGAGCAAACGGGG